rnacentral:rRNA from 1 species
AGUUCAGAUUGCAGGCUGCAACUCGCCUGCAUGAAGUUGGAAUUGCUAGUAAUCGCGAAUCAGAAUGUCGCGGUGAAUACGUUCCCGGGCCUUGUACACACCGCCCGUCACACCAUGAGAGUCGAUAACACCCGAAGCCUGUGAGCUAACCGUAAGGAGGCAGCAGUCGAAGGUGGGGUUGAUGAUUGGGGUGAAGUCGUAACAAGGUACC